rnacentral:tRNA from 1 species
GGGGAUAUAGCUCAAUUGGUAGAGUGCUUGCCUCCCAUGCACAAGGCCCUGGGUUCAAUCCUCAGUCCCA